UCUUUAUUGGGAUAUUUGCUUUAUUGC
rnacentral:piRNA from 1 species